rnacentral:lncRNA from 1 species
CAAGAUAAUGAUUUGCACUCAAAAGUUAUUUAAAAGCCUAUUUUUAUAUAUGGAAAAAUAUCAGUUUUGAGUGCUUAUCAACUACUGCAUUUUGGAUUGUAACUGCAGUUUAGUUGUCGUCAUUGUCAAGCAAGAUUUUAAGUUGAAGUUUUUGACCGGUGCAACAGGCGUGCUUGCUGGUUCAGAUAUCACCCGCAUUUUCAAGAUUAGAAUGUGACCUCACAGUGUACUCUGCUACAAGCUUUGCAAAAGAUGACGACUUGUUCUCUAGCAAUCUGGUGGGGGUAUCGUAUUCCUCAAUAAGCCCUGCAUCGACAUUUCCAGGGAAAUAAAUCAAGAAGAAUGCAGAUGAAGUUAAGAGUGCCAUUAGUUCAUGUUGAUAGUACUAACCAUGAUCCAGAAGUAGAACCUUGUCACUAUCAAGAACAGAAGUAAUUCGAUGUGCAAUGGUUAUGACUGUGGAAUCGACAAAGUGUUGUCUAAGGGUUUGCUGAAUCAGAUUAUCCGUGGCUGUAUCAACUGAUGCAGUGGCUUCAUCAAGCACUAAGACCUUGCUUUUCUUCAGUAGAACUCGGCCAAGACAAACCAGUUGCCUCUGACCCAUGCUCCAAUUCUCUCCAUUCUCAAUAACUGCCAAAUGCAUGCCAACAUUAGGAGUCUUAUAUGAGGUUACUAUUUAGAUUUUAUGUUAGCAUGGCGGGAGAAAUAACCUGCAGAAUCUAGCUUUCCUUCUUUCUUCCUGACUUCAUCUCCAAGCUGGCACUUAUCCAGAGCCUGAACCAAUGAGUUAGGAAAGCAAUAAUUCAUUUGUACAAUAUUAAGAAAUGAAGCAAAAGAAAACUAUUUUUCUACUGUCUUAAGAAAACAUAGUAGAGGAAAACCACAUGUCCACCUUACUUUUUGAGUAUAUCAAUAGAAUAAACAAAGCCUACCUCCCAAAUCUGUUCAUCUGAGUACUCUUCAAGUGGGUCAAGGUUGCUCCGUACAGUCCCUUCAAACAUGGUUGGAUCCUGAGGGAUAAUGCUUAGUCUAGACCGCAAAUCAUGUAGUCCAAUAGAAGAGAUGUUGGUACCAUCUAUCAUAAUCUGACCAGCGGCAGGUUCAACAAUUCGAAAGAGGGUCUGUAUGAGGGUUGAUUUACCACUGCCAGUUCGCCCUACAAUGCCAGUCUUCAUUCCUCCCAGGAAAGUGCAUGUGAGACCUCUCAAUACAAGUGGCAUGUGUGGGGCAUAGCGGACCUACAUCCACACUCACCGUCAUCAAACAUAUGGAAAUUCCUCUGACCAGAGGAAGCCAUGAAUAACCCUCUAGCAUGUAUAUAAAUAGAAAUUACCUGCAAAUCCUGAAUAUCAACUUCUCCAUGUGAAGGCCAAGAACAUGCUAGCCUGUUUUCUUCUGUGACAAGAGGAGGCUCGCUUGGAAUGGAAGUGUAUUGAAGUAUUCUCUCAACUGAUAUAAUUUUAUUCUCCAUAUUGCAAAGAUUCCAUAUUACCCAAGCUUGUAUCAUGUUCAAAUUAAGUCCAUAUGUCACUGCUAGGCCUGCAAUACCUUUAAUGGAAGUGGAAAAGAGUGUUAGUAAUUCUCCUAUGCCAUUUGCUAUUGAGAGUGAAAUAGAUAAUCAGUGAAUAUACCAGAACAGAGAUACUUACCAGGAUCAAUUACUCCCUCUGGAACAGAGAUUAAGAAAACCAAAGAGAAGGCAAAUGUAGCAGAAGAUAGCAUAUCCAAGCGGAAGCACAGCCAUUCCAUUGCACCAGCAAUGUUGAACUUGGGCCGUAUAUACCCAUCUACCAAUUUCAUGUUUGUAUCCCUGAAUCUAGAUUCUUGAUCAAAGCUUCUGAUGGUCAUAGAUCCUGCUAUAGUUUCAGAAAAAUGUUGAAUUACUGGAGCUUUGCAUACUCCGGCCAAUCUUGACAGUUCUCGUGCUGAAGGUAUGUAAUAUUGCUGCAUAAUUAUAAUGUUGUAAGAACCUUUUGCUCAUAUAUGAUAUAAAUCUAAGCUUUAAGGGGUAUUGAAAAAAAGGGAGAAAAUGGUUUUGGAAAUGAUAAAAAAAUAGAAAUACAUUAGUUAAACAUUGCAUCUAAACAGAAAAACCUGCAGUCUAUCUUGCAGCCAAUUUCAUUACUCUUAUCUGAAAAGUGAAUUGGCACUCAAAAACCACCAUAUCAACACUAAAGAAACUUUCAUUCUGAGGCCAUAUUAAUUGGCAUGGCACAUUCAUAUUUGCACCUCCUUAAUAUGCAAUGCUUGUGACUGAGCCCCAGCUCAGCUGGAUCAGAAAGGAACAUGAACAUGUCAUGAAUUGUAAGAGUUAUCCUGAAUUAGGAUUCCAUUUUAAUGCAGUUGGUUUAAAACGAAUCAAAUUUCUCAGUAAGCAAUGCACUACUCCAAUUUUUUUUCUAAGCAACAUUUUGGAGUAAAGCUUAGUUUAUACCCAAAAUGGUUUUGAGCCUACUGGCAUUUUCAUGGACAUAUGAUUGAUAAUCUAAUGUGGAAGAGUACAUGGCAUAUGUAAGCAAAGAAAAUAAAUAAUGUAAUAUGAGAAACAUAAGGUGAUCUCAACUACAGAGCAUGAGAUGUCAUGUGACAAAGCCAUGUGUUGGCAUUAACUAACAAGAAGAGGUCCUAAUAAGUUCACAAUGGUUACCUGAUACCAGAUGCAGGUUGCAAUCACAGGAAUAAAGACAAUGAAAACCUGCCAUGCAACCUGUGACAUAACUGCAAUAAUUCCCAGGAGCUGAAUCAAUUGGAAGGCAAAUGCCCCAACUUGCAUUGGCAUGGUUGUAUCGAUCGUACUUUGGUCUGUAGAAGCCUGUAAAAAAGGGAAGGAUCAAUUAAGUGAUAUUCUAACACUAGCUUUGGUAAAUGGGGAAAAGUGCAAGGCAGAAAUAGAUAUAUAUUCAUAUUUUCACUUACUCUGUUUAGAAUUCGCCCACUUGGGGUGGCAUCAAAGAAUGACAUUGGGGCACGGAAGACGCACAAAUGCAUUUUAUUGAAGAGUAUAGUAGCUGUCUUGUAACCAGCUGUUACAAGAAGCAUGGCUCUGGAAAGGACGCAAAAAGAACUUCCAACGGCCAAAGCUACAUAAACAAUUAUGAGAGUAGAACCUCUAACUGCAGGUUUCACAUCAUCUGACACGGGACUUGCCCAAGCCAUCCAAUAAUUGCUUCCAAUCUGAAGCAGCUGAAAGAGAAUCUGUGACAACAAUAUAAAGGGCACAAGAGCUCCUCCAUAUGCUGUCCUGAUGUAUUUCCAAUAAACCCAUAGCCCAACUUUACCUUUCUCUCUCUCCUCUUCUUGAACAAGCUGACCUUUUGUCCCAUCUAUCUCCUCUGCUUUACCAUUUUGGCCACCUCUGUUUUCUUCUUUUUCAACUACUUCAGAAGUACCACCAAUAUUAUCACUAUCCUCAUGGAUACUUAAUUUUUCUGAAAGUGACCCUGCCUCUACAGAAUUGAGUGCUAACAAAGCUUUCUUAUGUGCACCAACAAGUUCCAUAAAAUCAGUUCCAGAGUUGAGAAUUUCAUUGUACUUUCCUGCUUGUGUAACCCUUCCAUCUUUCAUGACCUGCAGGUAUGCUACAUUUCUUAAGUUUAUCUAAAACAAAGGCAAGGAAGAAAAAACACUGUAAUUACUCACCAGUAUGAGAUCAGCAGCAGGUAAGAACUCUACUUGAUGUGUAACAUAAAUCACUGUUUUCGAACCCAAGAGACCCAGCAAACAUUCCUGUUAUAUGAAGAUUACUUACAAAUACGAUCAAUGAAAGAUUUUUUUUUUUUCAUUUAAUAUAUAUAAUAAAAGGGAAAGGAAACAAAACAAAGGGCAAUGGCAUAGCAAGGGUCCCUAAUUACCUCAGCCAGACCAAGAACCAAAUCUUAUAUAGCCCAUAGCAGUGCAUAUUAAAACAUACAAGGAUAGCUCAUUUUCUACUUAAUGCAAUGGCAUUGUAUAGAUAAUAUGUUGUUUUACUUCAUAUAUAUAUAUAUAUAUAGAUCAAACUCAGGCUUUUAUAAGAGAAAAAAAUUACCUUAAAGAGAUGGGUUCCUGUAUGAGCAUCCACGGCACUGAAGGGGUCAUCAAACAGAUAAAUAUCAGCAUUUUGGUAGAGCGCACGUGCAAUCUGUAUUCUUUGCUUCUGGCCACCACUCAUAUUGAUUCCCCACUCACCUAUUACUGUCUGAUCACCAAAUGAGAGAACCUCCAGGUCCUUCUUUAAGGAACAUGCAUCAAGGACCCUUUCAUACCUUUCUCUUUCCAUCUCCUUACCAAACAAGAUGUUCUCUUCUAUCUUGCCACUCUGUAUCCAAGGAGACUGAGCAAUCUAAAGAACCAGUGCCUCACUGAAAGGCACUCAACAAGCUUCGCAACAAAAAAAGCCAUAGCCAAAAGAUAGCCUUCAUUUUUGAAUUCCCUUCGCCCAUUGAGAUAUUGAACGAAGGUAUCAAUAAGAUAGGGCCCAACAUAAGAUGCUAAUGUGUUUACAAGUACCAAGAAAGCCGUCAAUAGGAUUUCUGCCCAGCAUGCAAAGAUCAAUGCUUUCACCAGCUUAAGCGUGGUCACUCCACUACUUCCACCACUAUCACACUGGAGCUUAUUACUAAAUGCUGGAAAGACCCCCGCAACGCUGUUGCUGGUAUCAAGCUGAGGAACAUCCUCAAGGUCUAAUGUUUUCUUGUUACCCUCAGCAAUCAAGGGACCGAUCCAAGAGAAAGUAAGAAGGCUAAAAAAACUAGCUUUUGAAAAGGGGGUCACAGUUGCUUCCCCCUUGGAUUUAUUAGACUCCACUCUACUUAUACUGGUACUACCAUUCAAAAGGGGUUCCCUAAGAAUCGAUUCCUCGCCUUGAUUCUUUCCCAAAAAUCCCGAAUAGCACAAGAACAGACCAGUUAUGACGUAGACAAUAUCGGGCACCAAAUAUUGAAUUCGUAGGGACUGGUGUCUCUUGACAAUAUCUAGAACAAGGCAAUAACAUGAGAUGGAGAAGUAAAAUCCCCACCAAACUCUUAACAAAAAUGGGAACUUUGGUUCAACAGAACCAAUGAAUUGAGUGUGCAAAUAUACACAAACUGCUCCCCAGGCAAGUGUUCUGAGCACUAAAUCCAAAAGGGUCACCAGCCUUUCAUCAGACCAGCCAUUUCUAUACCAAUAAAAGUAGUUCAAAAAACACAACAACAAAUUCAACAGCGACAGACCCUGACAGCAAGCAAACGUUUGCUUAUAGUACAAAAACCUAGUCCUCUUACAAUUUUCAGGAGCACCCCCCUUGAUUCUCUUGCACACCCAUGAUACAAAUAGGAGAAGCAACAAAACUAGAUGCAAUGAGGCAGAAAAUGCACGUAAAAAGACGGGGUUUAGCAGAAAACCAGUACCUGAAUACGUAACCAUGGCUUCGAAUCCCACCAUUUUUUGAGAAUCUUUGGCCUCUGCUAAAAGGGUAUUUUGGAGGUGUGCUUAUGAAUGGAAAGGGAUGAUUUCUGGUGCUUUAUAUACGAAAAAAAAGACGGUAGGUCCCCGGUUUUAAGAGCGUAUUCCACAAAGUAAGUCAGUCAAAGGAUAUUUCCUUGGGCGCGGGAUAACUUGGCAGCCAAGCUUCAGUUGACGGAGAUAGUGAGGAAGCGUGGCAGGCACGAAGAGAGAGAACUUUAAGGAGAUCGAGACAAUUUUAUUGUUUCUAUUUUUUUUUUUUAUUGAUUAUCCUUUUUGUAGAAUUUUUAUUUCCAAAACCCAAACACAUUUAGAUUUCAUUCUAACCAACUACUUACUGGUGUCAUAAAUAUUUAGGAUUUUUAUUUAUUUAUAAUCAUCGAUGUUCGGACCAGUUUACGAGUCUAGUAAAUUUCCCGUGGCUUUGAGAGAACUCGAAUUGAUGACGGGAAACAAACUUAAGAUGGGACUAAUUGAACAAUCCCUCAAGGUUAUAAAUAUUUGAGAAAUUUUUUUCUAUUAUUUUAUUUUCUAUAAUAUUUCUUAGAGACAAAUUUCAAACAACCAUGAUAAAAUAAAAAAAUUUAUUUAGCACUUUAAUUUUAAUUAUCAUUAUUUAUUGAAAUUUAAAUUCAAUUAUGAAAUUUCAUUUCUUUUUAAGUAGAAAAUGAAUUGAAUCCCCCUUUCAUCAUCACAAUGACUAUAUUUAUUAAAAGUCAAAAUUAUAGUAGGAGUCAUAAUUGGCAGUUCAUCUUGUCAUCUUGUGUUUUGCUUCUAAACAACCGGUCAAAAAAUAACCUUAAAAAUAGGCUACACAAAAUGUGGAGAUUCCAAAAUAUUGGUUUUAUAUAUGUAUAUAUUUAUCUUUUUGGGGUAGAGCAUGUGGAUAUCCAUGAAAGACAAAAUACUUUCUGCUCCACCAUCUGGCUGGAAAGUCCCACUUUGGCGGACCACAGGAGGGUCGGGAUUCACAGGACCACAAAGCCUUGAAAAUUAGGGCCACUCACAUGACUUUAUAUGCAACAAUGACAUAUAACCAAUUCCCUAUUUAUGAUGCCACUGAUUUUCUAGCCACGUGUUUGACUAUUGAAUAAUUAUUGUGGAAUUAUUUUCUUUUGAUGUAUGUAUCGUGUAAGUUUCUAAAAGUUAAAAAUGGGUUCACUUUUAGUGAUUUACACUUAAAAGGAAUUGAAGUUCUGAAAUGUUGGAGAAGAACUUCAAGGGGAAAUUUUAAAAUAAGGAAGUGAUGAUAUGAUUAAGAUAGUUAGGGUAAAGAUUAAAAAUUAGAUUUAUGGUUAAUUAUAAUGUUUUCAGAAUCGGAUCGGUUAUUGAAUUGAAAAAAUUACUGGUUCACGAUUCAUUGGUCGGACCGACGGUUGAACCGCGAUCGAAUCGAUGAUGUCAUAAAUAUACAAUUUAUAAAUGAUUAAAAUUUAAAAUAAUUAUAAAAAUAAAAAUAAUAUUUUAUAUAUUAUUUAAAAAUUAAAAUUUUAUUUAAAAAUCAUAAAAUUAGUUUCAAAUUAGAAAUUUAAAUUAAAAUCAUAAUUUUAAUUUAAAAUUUAAAAUUUUAAUAUUUAUUUUUAAAUAAAAAACUUAUUUUAAAAUCAAAAAUUUAUUUAAAAUUGUAAUGUUUUUAAUUUUACCAUCAAACCAUAUCUCAUACCAUCCAUGUAAAUCCAUAUAAAAGGCAUUUUUUACUUUAUCAAUUUGAGCUUUCAAUCUCCACAACACUGUUGCUGUGAAGACUAAUAAAUAAACCAAAAAAGAAAAAUUUAUAAAAAUUGAAUAUUAAACAUAAUAUCAUAGUAAAAAAACACAUAAAAAUUAUUAAAUAUAAAACAUAAAAAAUAAUUUUGAAAAUAUCAACUUGCAGCUACUGGGCAGAGUCGGAAGGCGCACACAAUCGGGUUUUCCGGAGAGGAACUUUGAUCGGGGGGAUGGUUGCAACGGGUUUUGCAUCGGGGCGGUCAAGAGGGCGGGCAAGCGAUGUAACGACUGGGGAAACCACUGGUGGAAGCUGGCGUAGGUGUCGCAGCGUGUUGGGGGGCGAUAGCUUCUUUACCUUCAAUUCAGAUGGAGAAAGAAGGGUUAAGGUGUUUUUAUGUCACGCCCCAAGACCCACUCCAAGGGCGUGACGGUCAUUUCACACCUCAAACUCGGAGGGUUAAAGUGUAACUUGACCCAAACAAUUAUCUUGUAACUAGAAGUUACCAAUUACCAAAUACUUGUUCAGAGUAGCGGAACAAAAUUCUAAAAUCUUCAAAACUCAACUUUAAAACUAAGCAUCCAUCAACCAAAAUCCAUUAUCCAAAUAGAUUGCAAACUCAAACAAUUCAAGUUCUAACAAAACUUUCAUAAUCUCCAAAUCUCAACUUCAAACUAUCAUAAAAAAAAAAUUUAAAAGUUCAAUAUCUAAAUAGCUUCCAAAAACCAAAUAAUCCAAAUGAACAUAAACUUAUAAGCUAACAAUGUCCAAAAAUAACAUCCUAAGCAAAAUCCUAAUGAUGACCAUUCCCUGACCCAACCAUCACUUCUUGUCCGAACUAAGGGUACCUGAAAAGUAAUCAAUAAAGGGGAAUGAGCUCAAAGCCCAAUAAGGAAUAUUAAUAUAGUUUCAUGGAUCAAAUAGUUUCAAUUAUGCUUACAAAUAGGAGAUUUAGUGUAAAAUCCUUUUCAUAAGAACAUUUGAGUACAAAUAUGCUAAUACAUUUUAAGGUGUUUAACCAAACAUUUUCCUAUAUAUCAAAAUCAUUUUAUAUUCAUUUUAAAUCAAAUACAUUUCAAUUGUUUUCACUCUGGUUAACAAAUAACAAAUAGUGCCCAUUUAAGUGGGACUUUACAAAUAGGUGGCUAGCCUCAAAUGUUCAUUUUAAGGUGGAUGGAACCAAACACUACUAGUACUAGUAACCUCUAACCAAACCCUUACAGGGUGGGGUUCAAACCAAACCCUUAGAGGAUGGGGUUCAAACCAAUUACAUUUCCCACCACGAAAAUGUAAAGAUCAACUAUUAUAUCCCGUUGACAAUGGCAAAAAAGUCAACUAUUUUAUCCCGUUGACAAAGGCUAAAUAAACCAAAGUCAAAUUCUUUAAUUUAUUUAUUUCAACUUACAAAUGCAGAAAAUCUCCAAGUAUUUCAAUAUAAACAAAAUAAAUGUUAUAACACAUUUUUCCAUACAAAAAUAUAUUUGAUUCAUGCUUAAAAGCAAAAUUAACAAUUACACAUUUCAAAUAACACAAACAAACAAACACACACACACACACACACACACAUACACACACACACACACACACACACACAUAUAUAUAUAUAUAUAUAUAUAUAUAUAUAAUUAUUUUCUUUUGCAAAAUCUGUAUUAAUUUCCCUUACCUCAAAAGAAGUCCUAAAAAAGUUGGAAGAAAAAUAAUUCUAGAAAAUUUGCUCUUCAGCUAAUAAAAGAUAAGAGAAAUAACCAUUACUAUUUAUCUAAAAUUAUAGGUUUGACAAUCCUAAAAUUUUAGGUAUUCAAAUUAAUGUUUUUAAUUAUGAAAGAUAAUUUAAUCUAUUUUUAUUUUAAAAAAAUUAAUAAAUCUAAUUCAUAUAAAACUUAAAUUUUAUUUUCAAUUUAUUUCUUAGGACAUAACAUAAUUUAAUUAAAUUACAAUUUAUUCUACUAAUUAAAUUUUAUGCUACUUAUUAACUUGCACUCAUCAUUAGUAUAUAAUAUUGAUAACUUCUAUUCUCUCACUUUCAGUUUUUUUUUUUCACUAAACAUAAAUUGUAUCCCCAACAAUUCUCCAUUAUUGCUAACAUAAUAUAUAUAUAUUAACCACCAAACACCAUCCGUACACAUCUUCCUUUAUUAUUAAUAUUACUAUAUAUUUUUUUCUUUUCACCAUUCUCCAUCUUCCACAAGCACACAUUCUUCUUUUUUUUUUUUAAAAAAAAACUUCCUCUAGUGCACACACGUUCUUUUUCUUUCUUUCUUUUUUGCCCUAAUAUUUUCUAAUCCCUUAAGCCACAUAUAACAAUAUAUUUAUGUGCUCAUUUAUUUUUAUAUUUUUUUUUAAAAAAAAUCAUUACUUAGAUCUAUUCAUCUAAGAAAUUUUGAAUUUCCCUAUUUUCAUCAAUAGAACAAUUUAUAUUCCUAAUUUCAAUAUUUUGACCUAAAAGUUUUAAAUAGGUCAACCUUAACCUGAAUCGAGAUCUUCUAGAUAAUCAUUUUUUUUUUAACUUAAGAUUUCCCAAUUUCUGACAAUAAAACCAGCAAUAAUCCUAAAUUUCCAAUAUUUUGAUAUUAAAACGAAUUAAAAAAAUAAACUAACCCUAAUCUAAAUAAAAAAAAUUCAAAGAAUAACUAGCGUGUUCAAAUAUAAAUAACGAAUAUAAUAUAUUAAUUUAGGGUUAGAAUCUUACCAGGAAAAAAAACUUGAACUUCAACUCUGAAUCUCUAACCCUUGAGCCCUAUGAUCUCCAACUCUCUACUUCUGGUUGAUAGAGUUUUCUAAAUGAAGAAAACAAGAGAAAAAGUCCAAUUUAUACCUAGGAUUUUUAAUUGUAAAAGGACUCUUUCACUUUAAUGAAUUUAAUUAAUUACUUAAUUACUUUAUAAAUUACUAGUUUGCCCCUAGAUUAAAUUUUGGGGUGUUACAUCCUCCCUUCCUUAAAAAAGUUUAGUCCUCUAAACUUGACAUACUUGGGUCUUGAAAAAGAUGUGGGUGCUUUUUUCUUAUCUCCUCUUCUAAUACCCAAGUGGCUUCUCGAAUAUUGUGAUUGCUCCAUUGGAUUUUUACUAACUUGACAACAGCAUGACAUAGUACCUUGUCCAUCACAUCCAUAAUCUGAACGGGCACCUCUUCAUAGGUCAAGUCCUUAGAAAUUUGAAUAGGCUCCAACUCCACAACAUGAGAAGGAUCAUAAAUAUAUUUCCUCAAAGUCGAAACAUGGAAUACAUUAUGAAUCUUAGAUAGACUUGGGGGCAAGGCCACUUUAUAAGCCAAAUUGCCUACUCUUUCUAAUACCUUAAAUGGUCUCACAAAACGAGGACCGUAUUUCCCUUUUCUUCCAAAUCUCAUUAUAGACUUCAUAGGUGAAACUUUCAAGAAAACAUGAUCACCCACCUCAAACUCCAAAUCUCGUCUGCGAUUAUCAGCAUAACUUUUCUGUCUACUUUGUGCUGUUUUCAAUAUUUCUUUAAUUAAAGAGACCUUUUCAACAGUCAACUGCACAAGUUCAGGCCCCAAAAGUUUCUUCUCUCCAACAUCAUCCCAACAAACAGGAAACCAACAUCUCCUACCAUAUAAAGCCUCAAAAGGUGUCAUCCCAAUGGUAGCUUGAAAGCUAUUAUUAUAGGCAAACUCCACUAGGGGCAAAUAAUCAUCCCAAUUACCUUUUAGGUCUAAAGCAUAAGCUCUCAACAAAUCUUCCAAGACCUGAAUUACCCUCUCUGAUUGACCAUCAGUCUGCGGAUGAAAAGUAGUACUAAAACUCAACUUAGUACCUAAUGGUUUUUGUAAACUAUGCCAAAAUCUAGAAGUGAAAUGAGGAUCUUUGUCAAGUACUAUAGAAACAGGUACACCAUGCAUUCUCACAAUCUCCUUAAUAUAAAGAGAAGCCAAACGAUCCAUAGAAAAAUUUACUUUCAUAGGCAGAAAAUGAGCAAACUUUGUCAAUUGAUCCACAAUUACCCAAAUAGCAUUAUUACCCCCUAAGGUUCUUGGCAACCCUGUUACAAAGUCCAUGGUAAUAUGUUCCCAUUUCCAUUCAGGAAUAGAAAGUGGUUGUAAUGAUCCUGCUGGUCAUUGAUGCUCAGCUUUCACCUAUUGGCACACCAAACACUGAGUCACAAAUCUUGCAAUAUCCCACUUCAUACUUGGCCACCAAUAAUUUUGCUUCAAAUCUCUAUACAUCUUCAUCCCUCUUGGGUGGAUUGCAAACUUAGAACAAUGAGCUUCUUCCAAUAGCUCUCUCCUUAAAUCUCCAUAAUUUGGGACACAAAGUCUAGUCACAAAUCUCAAAAUCCCAUCAUCUGAUCAGACAAAGUCAGGCUUACUACCCCUCUUAACUUCCUCCAUAAGCUGCACUAAUUGCAUAUCAUUCUUUUAUAGGGUCUUAAUUUUCCCAACCAAGUCUGGUUGCACUCUAAAGUUUUCCACAAGAGCUCUAGAGUCCAAAACCCUUAUAUGGAGUUGUAAACUCCUCAAAUAUUCCAAUAAUUGCCUCCGACAACCUCUAAUAGCUGCUAAGGAACCAACAGAUUUCUUGCUCAAGGCGUUAGCCACAACAUUCGCCUUCCCUGGGUGAUACUGAAUAAUGCAGUCAUAGUCUUUAAGUAGUUCAAUCCACCUUCUCUGUCUCAUGUUCAAUUCCUUUUGGGAAAAUAAAUACUUCAAACUCUUAUGAUCUGUGAAUAUCUCACAAGUUUCACCAAAAAGAAAAUGUCUCCAGAUCUUAAGUGCAAAAACCACUAUAGCUAACUCCAAUUCAUGAGUAGGAUAAUUUCGUUCAUAAGGCUUCAACUGUCUAGAAGCAUAAACUACAAAUUUCCCAUGUUCCAUAAGAACACAACCCAAACCCUGACGAGAGACAUCACUAUACACCACAAACCCUCCUAAGCUUGAAGGGAUAGUUAAAAUAGGAGUUGUCAUUAAUCUAUUCUUUAACUCUUGGAAACUAUGUUCACAAUCAUUAAACCACUCAAACUUAACCCUUUUCUGAGUCAAUCUGGUCAGAGGUAGGGCGAUCUUAGAGAACCCCUCAACAAACUGCCUAUAAUAACCAGCCAGUCCUAGGAAACUUCGAAUUUCGAUCACAGUAUUAUGUCUCCUCUAAUUUGACACAACAUUUACCUUUCCAAGGUUAAUAAAGAUGCCAUCCUUGGUCACCACAUGCCCAAGGAAAGAGACUUUGUUUAACCAGAACUCACACUUCUUUAAUUUAACAUACAAUUGCUUAUCUCUGAGAGUCUGCAAUACAAAACUCAAAUGGCGCUCAUGCUCCCCCCUACUCCUUAAGUACACCAAAAUAUCAUAUAUAAAAACCACCACAAACUAAUCUAAAUAGGGCUUGAAUACCCUGUUCAUUAAGUCCAUAAAAGUAGUAGGUGCCUUAGUCAAACCAAAAAGCAUAAGCAAAAACUCAAAAUGCCCAUAUCUAGUUUGAAAAGCAGUUUUGGAUACAUCUUCACUUCUAAUCCUUAACCGAUGAUAACCAAACCGAAGAUCAAUAUUAGAGAACACACAUGCACCCUAAAGUUGAUUAAACAAAUCAUCAAUCCGACGAAGGGGAUACUUGUUCCUCACCGUCACAUUAUUCAACUCUCUAUAAUCAAUGCAGAGUCUCAUAGAUCCAUCAUUCUUCUUUACAAAUAAAAUAGGAGCUCCCCAAGGUGAAAUACUAGGCCUAAUGAAGCCCUUAUCUAACAACUCCUGAAGUUGAAUCUUCAACUCCUUAAGCUCCAUAGGUAUUUUCCUGUAAGGGGUCUUAGAGAUAGGAGUUGUCCUUGGUGCCAAAGCAAUGGUGAACUCCAUCUCUCUCUCUAGUGCCAAGCCAGGUAGAUCCUUUGGAAAGACAUCAAGAUGGUCCCUUAUAAUGGGUAUGUCUUCCAACUUUAAAUCAUUUUUCCCAUUCAUAACAUAAGCCAAAAAGCCUUGACAACCUUUCCUGAGCAAAGAACUAGCUCGCAAGGUUGAGAUCAUAUGCAAUGGUUUGUUCACAUGCUUCCCCUCAAAACUAAAAUCAGCCUAACCAGGAAUGCUAAACGUCACUCUUUUCCUAAAACAAUCAAUAGAUGCAUGGUAUGAAGCUAACCAAUCCAUCCCCAAAAUCACAUCAAAAUCCUCGAGGUCAAAAAGUACUAAGUCAAAUGUUAUCUCUCUAUACCCAAUCAUCACACUACAAUCUCUAAGUAUUUUAUUAACCACAACAAAAUCUCCAAAGGAGUAGCAACAAAUAAAUCAAAGUCCAUGUUAUCAAUCAACAUACCCAACAAACCAGCAAAAAAUACGGAAACAAAAAAGUGCGUUGAACCAGGAUCAAUCAAGGCUCUAGAAAAUAAGGUAUGAAUUCGAAGAGUACCUAUUACCACAUCAGAAGUAGCCUGGGCAUUUCUAUGAGUCAUAGUAAAUACCCGCCCUUGAGCCCUAGGUUUCUGUCUAUCAUUUUUAUUCUCCUCCUUAGGCUUCCCAAAUGCAAACUUCUUAUUCUUUAGACAAUCCCGAACCAUAUGUCCCUAUUUUCCACACCUAAAGCAAGCCUCUGUCUCUCUGAAGUAUGGCCUACCCCCAUGCUUCUUACCAUAAGUAGGACAAAUCCCAUCUAAAUUUUGUGCUGCUUUUCCUUUAUUCUGAUUUCUACUUAGAGCAGACUUUUUCUGUGCUUGGUUACCAUGAGCACCAUCAUUUCUAUUCCACUUCCUUUGUUGUUCCCUAUACUGGUGAAGCUUUUCAUUAUCCUUCUCUGCAAUAAGGGCUUUGUCUACCACCUGUGAAUAAACACUAAGCUUCAUAAUUGAUAUCUUAUUCUUCAGAUAAGGCUUCAGUGCAUCUUGAAACUUUAAUGCUUUUUUCUCCUCUAUAGCAAUCAACUGUGGGACAAAACGUGAUAGUUCAGUAAACUUAGCCUCAUACUAGGCCACCAUCAAAUUUCUGUAUUCCAAACGGACAAACUAUCCCACCUUUUGUCGUCGAACACUGUCAGGAAAGUACUUCUUAUAAAAAGCCUCUCUAAACUGACUCCAAACAAUAGGCCCCUGAUCCUCCAAAAGCCUAUUAGUCAUACGCCAUCAAUGGUCUGCCUCUUUGUCUAACAUAAAUGCUGUAUAAGAGGCUUUUUGCACAUCAGAACAAUCAAUGACAUCAAAGAAUUUUUGUAUCUUCAUAAUCUAAGUCUUUGCCUCAGUUGGAUCUAAAGGACUAGAAAAGUAAGGGAGACCCUACUUCUUAAAGUCAUCAAAGGAGCUACCUCUAGUAGAUGAGGAUUGUCCUUAACCAUUACUUCCAGUAGCUCUAGCCUGACGCUCAACCAAGCCAGCCAAAGUCCCUAAAUAUCUAUAAAGACCUUCAAUACUCAUAGUGGGCAAAGCCUCAAGUGGAGAAGGUAUAUCAUCAUUAGGCUGACUAUUUUGGGAAGAUGCAAGUCUCCUUGGUGGCAUGGUGUCCUAUAAAGCAAUACGUAUAACUAAAUUAGUCACUAAGAAGCCAAAUAAGCAAAUUAAAAAUUUAAGGAAUAAAAGGAAUCAUACUAGAUGAAGUUGAAACUUAAACUAAUGUGUCACUCAUCUAUUUCCAAAGGUAAACUAAACAAGUUCUCAUCAAGAUCAUAACUUGGUGCUUUGAUACCACACUGUCACACCCCAAGACCCACUCCAAGGGCGUGACGGUCAUUUCACACCUCAAAUCCGAAGGGUUAAAGUGUAACCUUACCCAAAUAAUUAUCUUGUAACUAGAAGUUACCAAUUACCAAAUACCUGUUUAGGGUAGUAGAACAAAAUUCUAAAAUAUUCAAAACUUAACUUUAAAACUAAACACAUAAACCAAAAUCCAUUAUUCAAAUAAAUUGCAAACUCAAACAAUUCAAGUGCUAACAAAACUUUCAUAAUCUCCAAAUCUCAACUUCAAACUAUCAUAAAAAAAAUUUACAAGUUCAAUAUCUAAAUAACUUCCAAAAACCAAAUAAUCCAAAUGAAUAUAAACUUAUAAGCUAACAAUGUCCGAAAAUAACAUUCUAAGCAAAAUCCUAAUGAUGACCAUUCCCCAACCUAGCCAUCACUCCUCGCCCAAAUUAAGGGUACCUGAAAAGUAAUCAACAAAGGAGAAUGAGCUCAAAGCCCAAUAAAGAAUAUUAAUAUAGUUUCAUAGAUCAAAUAGUUUCAAUUAUGCUUACAAAUAGGAGAUUUAGUGUAAAAUCAUUUUCAUAAGAACAUUUGAGUACAAAUAUGCUAAUACAUUUUAAGGUGUUUAACCAAACAUUUUCCUAUAUAUCAAAAUCAUUUCAUAUCCAUUUCAAAUCAAAUACAUUUCAAUUGUCUUCACUCUGGUUAUCAAAUAACAAAUAGUGUCCAUUUAAGUGGGACUUUACAAAUAGGUGGCUAGCUUCAAAUGUUCCUUUUAAGGUGGACGGAACCAAACACUACUAGUACUAGUAACCUUUAACCAAACCCCUAGAAGGUGGGGUUCAAAUCAAUUACAUUUCCCACCACGAAAAUGUAAAGGUCAACUAUUAUAUCCCGUUGACAAGGGCUAAACAAACUAGAGUCAAAUUCUUUAUUUUAUUUAUUCUAACUUACAAAUGCAGAAAAUUCCCAAGUAUUUCGAUAUAAACAAAAUAAAUGUUAUAACACAUUUUUCCAUACAAAAAUAUAUUUGAUCCAUGCUUAAAAGCAAAAUUAACAAUUACACAUUUAAAUAUAUAUUUUCUUUUACAAAAUUUGUAUUAAUUUUCCUUACCUCAAAAGAAGUCCUCAAAAACUUGGAAGAAAAAUAAUUCUGGAAAAUCUACUCUUCACCUAACAAAGUAUAAGAGAAAUAGCCAUUACAUUUAUCUAAAAUUAUAGGUUUAACAAUCCUAAAAUUUUAGGUAUUCAAAUUAAUGUUUUUAAUUAUGAAAGAUAAUUUAAUCUAUUCCUAUUUUAGAAAAAUUAAUAAAUUUCUAAUUCAUAUAAAACUUGAAUUUUAUUUUCAAUUUAUUUCUUAGGACACAACAUAAUUUAAUUAAACUACAAUUUAUUCUACUAAUUAAAUUUUAUGCUACUUGUUAACUUACACUCAUCAUUAGUAUAAUAAUAUUGAUAACUUCUAUUCUCUCACUUUCAGUUUUUUUUUUUUUUUCAGUAAACAUAAACUGUAUCCCUAACAAUUCUCCAUUAUUGCUAACAUAAUAUAUAUAUAUAUUAACCGCCAAACACCAUCCGUACACUUCCUCUAGUGCACAUGCGUUCUCUUUCUUUCUUUUUUUUUUUUCCCUAAUAUUUCUAAUCCCUUUAGCCACAUAUAACAAUAUAUUUAUUUACUCAUUUAUUAUUAUUUUUUUAAAAAAAAUCAUUACUUAGAUCUAUUCAUCUAAGAAAUUUUGAAUUUCCCUAUUUUCAUCAUUAGAAUAAUCUAUAUUUCUAAUUUCAAUAUUUUGACCUAAAAGUUUUAUAUAAGUUAACCCUAGCCUAAAUCGAAAUCUUCUAGAGAAUAAUUUUUUUUAAAACCUAAGAUUUCCCAAUUUCUAACAAUAAAAACCACCAAUAAUCCUAAAUUUCUAAUAUUUUGAUAUUAAAAUGAAUUAAAAAAAUAAACUAACCCUAAUCUAGAUUAAUUUUUUUUUGAAAGAAUAACUAGCGUGUUCAGAACUAAUUAACGAAUAUAAUAUAUUAAUUUAAAGUUAGAAUCUUACUUGGAAAAAAAAACCUGAACUUCAACUCUGAAUCUAUAACCCUUGAACCCUAUGUGAUUCAUUCCCAAUUGGUGUCUCAGUUGAUUCAUAUCCUCUCAAUGGUCCCUGACAGUGGUGCCAUUUGAUUCAUGUCCAGCUAGUGUCCCUUGAUUUUGGUCCUCAGAAAGGAGUAAUCAACAAAAUUUAUAACCUAUUACACCAUGAACUAGGGUAGCAAAGACAAAGCUACUAUAGCAUAGUGGCUCUAGGAUCGUUCACUGGGAUGGGUUUUCACUCCACAAUUGAUAUCAAUUCAAAGUUGAAUUGGUGCCUUUUCAUUUCAAGGUUAGCUUUAAAAGAAAACAUAAAGAUGUUUGAAUGAAAAAGGUUUGGUUUUAAACUAACCAAAAAUAGUAACUGAUUUUACUUACAAAGAAAAGUGUUUCUUGGAGUUUUAGAUCACUAGGCUCAGAUUCCUCAUACAAAAAGGGAGUUCCGAUCACUUGUUUCUUUUCCUUGCAUUAGAGAAUUAACAUAUAGUUCAUUCUCCAACCGGUGUGGUACAGAUGCUCCCCAUUAAUGGGUUCAAACACUAAAUCCCUCUCACUGAUACAUCUUGCAAUGGCUCGUGCCUCUCACCUAGCAUUUGCCAUUCAAGGUGAUCUUUAACCUUGGAUUACCCGUCAAAAGCUCGCAAGAGAUAACUAAUGGAUGUCUCCUUAGAGUCCAAAAGCUUACCAAGUGUUGGCUAUUCUAGAAAAUCCUACCUUCAAACCACCUCCCAAAGGCUCGCAAGAGAUAAACUAGUGCAUCUCAAUGGACGAAGAACACUUGCCUUACCAAGUGUUGGCCCAGGUGAUUUAAAGGCGUUUUAAGUUAACUAAAAAGAUAAAAACUAUUAACGGGUCACACUUUCUCUUCAUUAAAAACUAAAACAACAAAACUUCCAAUUUAUGCAUGUGGAAACUUACCCGGCUUUCUUCACUCCAAGAGAUGAAGAGCCUAGCCUCUUAUUCUCUGAGGAAAAAUCCUCAGAGUUUGGUUGGCUAAAAAGAAAAAGUAAAUAAUAUACAAUACAAUCAAAACGAGAAGGUAAGGCAGAGCAAAGGCUCUGUAUUUUACUUCCUUGCAAAACUGUACAAAGGAUUGAUCUCUGAGAACAAGCUCCCGAGAUGAUUUGUAAAGAAAAUUACAAAACUAUAUAUAAGGGGUUAUUCACCCUUUGUUCUUACUUAAAGACUAAGGAAUCCUAUGAUAGGUGGGUUAGAAAGAGACUUUGGGAAUUUUGAAAUCAAAUAUCUAAAGAAAAAUGUCUCAAAAUGUCGGUCGCACAUAUCGAGAAGCUUCAGGAGAACAUCGCGACACUGUGCAAAAUGGUUGUGAAACUCUCUGGGUAAGCGCUAUCAGAGGAUUCGGAUAUGUCUGAUCGGGGAAAUUGAAACGCCCUCCUCUCCCAUCUGGCGUCAGGCGCCGGAUGUGAAAUAUCCGGAGAAGGUGCUGGAUGUGAAAUAUCCGGAGAAGGUGGAACGUCGCCCGGACAGAAUUCCGAAUGUGAGAUACCCGAAGAAGAUGGAACGUCGCAAGGGGGACCGUCUGCGUGUGCAAGGUGUAGGGACCCCUCCCCUUGAUGACACGGAGCGCGCAUCGCUAUCCGAAGCAACUCCAUCCGGAUUCCCCAAGAGGACUCGUGGCGCGCUCCCCUAUCCGGACUCCCUCAGGGAGAAGCACACGAUACUUGCGAUCAUCACACCCGGACGAUAGCAUAUCCUAUCCGGAUAUGUUGUCCGGAUCAUUGACUAAAGUGCACAAGCCUUGCUACGUCAUUCUGACAGCCUGCCACAGCCCACAUUCCACCACCCUCCGAUGGUGUGUUCGGAUGCUCUGUCCGGACAUCUUUUGUAGGGAAGACUGACCAGAACUCAAUCUUGGUUGAAAGCGUGCGUAUCCCAUACUCCUUGCAUUCUGGAUUUGCUUAUGGCAAAGGACUUCAAAGCUUCGGUUCUUCAUGUUUCUGAGCUUUCCAUUGCCUUGCCAUGGAUUCCAAAGAACUCUCCUCAAACUCGGAUUGCUUUGGUGAUAAAAAAGCUAUCAAAACACCAAAACUUAACACAAUUUGAUUAGAAUUGAUUGCAAGGGUCCUUAAUAUGUUAAUUGGGUUAAAAGGUGAUAACUACUACUCAAAAGUGUUUAAAAGAGUUAAUUACAAACUAUGGAAUAACACUUUUUGAGUAGUAAUCACUAUGAUCUCCAAUUCUCUACUUUUGGUUGAUAGGGUUUUUUGAAUGAAGAAGACAAAAGGAAAAGUCCAAUUUAUACCUAAGAUUUCUAAUUGUAAAAAGACUCUUUCACCUUUAAUGAAUUUAAUUAAUGACUUAAUUACUUUAUAAAUUACUAGUUUGCCCCUAGAUUAAAUUUUGGGGUAUUACAUUUUAUAUCCUCCAAAACGGCGUCGUUUUGAUAUUGUAAAUAUUAAAAAAAAAAAAAAUUAAUUGAACCGUCCGGUUCGUUGGUCGGACCGUUGGUUCAACCGGUUCGAUUCCGAUUUAACUUAUUUCCGAGCUAAUUGACUGGAUCAGACUGGAACCAUGACCAGCGGACGGUCAGACCAGCUAAUCCGAUCAAAAUUUUAAAACCAUGGUUAAUUAUCCAUGAAGGGGUGGUGUUGCAUAAAAUUUGAGUCCACCAUAUCUAGGCAUGCUCAAUCAUAUAAAUUUAUAUAACCUUCGACAUCAAGCAUAUUAGGAGAAUGAUAAAAUCAUCACAUCUCAAUCGUCUAUUAUUAAAACUCCUGUAUUGUUGUAAAAUUUAAGAAAAAAUAUAUUUUUAAACAUCUUCAAAUAUUGGGUGUAUGUUAUUCUAUUUAUUAAAUGAACAUUUGAGAGACUUUACUGGAAUUUUUAUUUUUUAUUUUUACUAUGAAUAUCAUAUUUAUUUGUGUAAAACUUUAGAUUUAAAUAUUUGUUUUAACUUAAGAAUUUAAACUCUUCAACAAAGGUAAUCUCAUUUAGCUUUCUAUUUAUUGUAGCCUUGCAACUAAUAUCUAGUUUCAAGUUGAAAUUUUUGUUAAGAGAGAAUUCUAGGCUACAACCAAGAUUUGAAAUAUCGAUAAACAUGGAUAUAUCGGUACUUGGAUUUUAUGAAUAUAUAAGAAAUAUCGGAGAAAUAUCGAUGGAUAUUUUGAUAAAAAUUAUCUAUGGACAAAAAUUAUUCAAAAUUCAUGGGAAUGCUUUAAAAAACACA